UUCUUUCUGGCCUCAAAUCAG
rnacentral:rRNA from 1 species